rnacentral:rRNA from 1 species
GUCUACGGCCAUACCACCCUGAACGCGCCCGAUCUCGUCUGAUCUCGGAAGCUUAAGCAGGGUGGGGCCUGGUUAGUACUUGGAUGGGAGAAAGUGGAUCUUGAGGAUGUUGCAC